UCCACACACCACAUCUCCUUCCUUUCUUUCCUGCCCUGCCCACGCCGCUGCUUCUGCCUAUCUACUUUUUCUCAGACGCCAUUGCUGUAGAGUUGCUGCACGGGGCGCCCUCCCCCAUGAAGCGCGGCAUCGUGAGAGUUGUUGCUGCUGCACGGGAUGCCAUCACCAUGGCCGCGCCCUUCGCCAUGGCCGAACGCGACGGGGCCGAACACCGGCGCUACUACGACAGGGGGCCAUGGCCUGCGAGCUCAUAGGCCAGGGUGGCCAUGGCUUAUGAGCUCGAGGCAUGUUAUUUAUAACUCCAGAUUUUGCUUUCAUGUUUGUUUUUGCUGGAACCAGUGUACUAAUUUGUUACCACCGUCUUCGUUUUUUGCUGGAACUAACCAAAUUUUGCUGCCAUGUCUUUUUGUUGGAAUCAUUUUGUAGCACUUUUUUGCUACAACAGUUUUGGUUUUUUGCUACUACCGGCACUGUCGUUUGUUACAUCCUUUUUCAUGAGGUUGUCGAGACCCUGCGACUGUGUGUUUUGCUACACCCUUGUACAUUUUUUGCUACAACCUUGUGCAUUUUUUGCUACUACUAGAGAAGCCCCUAACUGGACCACAAGUUGUUUUUGCUAUAACCGUUUUGUGGUUUGCUGCAACCAAUGUCAAUUUUUGCUAUCACCGGCUUCUUGAUUUUUCUGGAACCAGCGCUCGAUUUUUCAUUUUUGCUACCACUAGCGUUUUGAUUUGCUGGAACAAGCUUCAAUUUUUGCUACCAUCAGGUUUUUGGUUUGUUGGAACGGCAUCGAUUUUUUCCAAUUUUGCUAUCAACGUUUUAUUGGUUUUUGCUGCAACCGUCAAGAAUUUUUGCUACGACCGGUGGAAUUUUUUGCUGCGACCGGCAAAUUAAGGACGAGGAACAACACGAGCUCUACGACGGGUGCUGCGGCCGGUGACGUGUGGCUCUGCGAGCCGUGGGGGGCCUCGUCGGAGAUGCGCCGCGGGGGCCUUGCUGGAGCUGGGCCUCGCCGGAGAUGCGCCGCGGGGGCCUUGCUGGGCCUCGCCGGAGAUGCGCCGCGGGAGCCUUGCUGGAGCUGCGCGGUGCUGCGAGCCGCGGGGGAUCUCACCGGAGAUGCGCCGUGCUGUGAGCCGCGGAGGAUCUCGCCGGAUAUGCCCCACGGGGCCUGAGGAAGAAGAAGGUGGGGCAUUUUUUACUUUUUUUUUACUCCAAAUCCAACCGCCGCGCGGCUCGCAUCAAGCGGCUAUGACUGGACCGGCCGAAAGUUUCGGCCAAUGCGCCGGCGCCUAGCGGUGCCCGUGCCGGUUAUUGGGCUGGGAAGCCAGCGCGUAGAACACAGCGAGCACCGUUUUUUUGGUGACUCGGUCGUGCGCGUGUAGCAGGGAAACCAUGUUGGGCUGCGAGUGAACCGUGCGGACGUAGCGGAAAAGCGUGUGGAUUGUAGCGGCACGAUUAUGUGAUGGCAUGACUUGAAACUGAACUGCUGACAUGUCAUUUAAACUGACGGGGAAUGGCUACAUGUCAAGCUUAGUGGACAUUGAGGUGGACACUUUACAUGUUAAAAAAAUUGAUACUAACUUUUUAAGAAUGUAAGAUUAGAGUCAACCUGCGUGUGCAGUGCAUGUCCUUCUUUUAUUAGGGGCUUUAAUCUUUUCUACUAUUGGCAGGUGCAGCCACAGGCCCAGCGAAACAACGGGAGGAACCCGUCAGGCGAAGGCCCAACCCAGCAACGUGGAAAUUCAAUCUUGCGUGGGCUUCGACUUUGCGUGAGCUCUUUAAUCAGCGCCACAGAUGAUCUAUAUAGAAAUAAUAACUUCACUAUAGAUGACAUCUUCUUGUCUGGCUAGUUGGCAACAACUUGGAUGUCUCACGUACAUGUCGUGUGUUCGAUUCCUGUCUCUUGCGAUUAUAUUUUUAAUCUUCAACAGACUUCCGGUUUCGUUCAUACAUCCCGUUUCCUUUGUUU
rnacentral:lncRNA from 1 species